rnacentral:rRNA from 1 species
AACGAACGCUGGCGGCGUGCCUAACACAUGCAAGUCGAACGAGAAAGGGGCUUCGGCUCCGAGUAAAGUGGCGCACGGGUGAGUAACACGUGGGUAACCUGCCUCUAAGAUUGGGAUAACUCGUCGAAAGAUGAGCUAAUACCGAAUAAGACCACAGUUCCCGCGGGAACAGGGGUCAAAGGUAGCCUCUGCUUGCAAGCUAUCACUUAGAGAUGGGCCUGCGCACCAUUAGCUAGUUGGUAGGGUAACGGCCUACCAAGGCAAAGAUGGUUAGCUGGUCUGAGAGGAUGAUCAGCCACACUGGAACGGAGACACGGUCCAGACGCCUACGGGAGGCAGCAGUGGGGAAUAUUGCGCAAUGGGCGAAAGCUUGACGCAGCAACGCCGCGUGAGUGAUGAAGGCCUUCGGGUCGUAAAGCUCUGUCGGGAGGAACGAAUGCUCCUGAGGUUAACAGCCUCGGGAGGUGACGGUACCUUCAAAGGAAGCACCGGCUAACUCUGUG